GUUAUCCGGAUUUACUGGGUGUAAAGGGAGACGUAGACGGUAGACCAAGUCUGAAGUGAAAGCCCGGGGCUCAACCCCGGAACUGCUUUGGAAACUGGUAAACUAGAGUGCAGGAGAGGUAAGUGGAAUUCCUAGUGUAGCGGUGAAAUGCGUAGAUAUUAGGAGGAACACCAGUGGCGAAGGCGGCUUACUGGACUGUAACUGACGUUGAGGCUCGAAAGCGUGGGGAGCAAACAGGAUUAGAUACCCUGGUAGUCCACGCCGUAAACGAUGAUUACUAGGUGUCGGGGAAUUAAACUCUUCGGUGCCGC
rnacentral:rRNA from 1 species